AGGGCCGAAGCUAGAGGAAGACCUAGGAAAACUUUGGAAGACUCUAAGAAAAGACUUAGAGUACUUGGAUCUAACGGAGGACAUGACACAGGAUCGAGCACAAUGGCGUUCUAAGAUUCAUAUAGCCGACCCGACUCAGUGACUUGGAUUUUUCAAGUCUCCAAUCGAGAAGUUUUCCCCACUCGGGAAAUUAAGGGAACACAACCUCAACCUACAUGCUCCACUCACAAAGCUUCAACAUACAAGCUUCAACAAAAGAAAAAUUCAAAGAACUUAGUGAAGAAGGCUUUGGUGUAUUUAACACAAUACGUUGAAAUGAAACAAAGCUUAUUUAUUGAUAUCUCUAAGAAGUUACAAAUAUGUACAUCUACACGAGUCAAAAUAAACAAACAAGAGGGAGCCUUCACAAAGGUUGCUUAGGAGAAGUCUCAGCAGUCGGCAGAGCCCCAGAAAGAGAAGGCACCGGAAGGGGAUCAUUCGGAGCCUCAGUACUGGACAGCACCCUAGAAGGAGGAGGCAUCGGAGGUUGAUCAUUUGGAGCUUCAUUACGCGGUCCAGCCCCAGAAGAAGACGAAGGCAAUAAAUGCCUUUGGAACAAACCCACAAAACCUCUGAUGAUCAUGUAAAAUCUGACCAUCAGAUUCCUUCAUCUGGUCAAGCUUCUCUCUUCAUGUUUGUAGCAUAGUCAUGAGCGAGCCGGUGCAACUCUUGUUUAUUCUCAUGCUUGAGCCCUCUAAUCUCUUGUUUGAGACUCAUCACUUCAGCCGCCAAUGAUUCAACUUGGCGGGUUCGAGCAAAUAGGCGUUGGGUCAUAUUAGACACAGAACCUGCACACUGACACAUUGAGAGCCAGAGAAUCCUCCUAACAGCCAACUCAUCAGACCGUUUGGAAAGUAGUCUGUUAUAUCUUUGGGAGUGAGAAGGUUCCUGGCCACUACCGCGCAGCAGCGGUCAUAUCAUUCUCAAUCCCCAACGGAAUCCCAGGAAACCAGGUAAGAGGGUAGGGGAUAAGAAGGAUGGGCGCCAUAUUUGUCUGGAGAAAGGCGUGGCUGCCUCUUUUCAACAAGGUUCAAGUCAAAAACGACGGUCGGAGGGGCCAGACAUUCAAAGGUGUUGAAGAGAAAAGAGGGUCGGACAAAUCAAGAUCUUGGAAAUGCAGAAGAAGGGAACUUCUACUGGUGGAGAUUCAAGUGUGCUUUGGAACUUAAUACCAGCCUCUAUAAAAAUCCGCACUCGAUGGAGCUUCAGAAAUCGAAGAGGCGCCUACUCAGAAAUCGAAAGGCGUUUGCUUUCUCAAAAGCUGGGCUGCUCAGAGACCACGAGGGCCGAUCUCAGGAAUCGAAGAGGCGUUUACUUUCUCAAAAGCUGGGCUGCUCAAAGACCCAUGAAGGUCGAUCGCAGAAAUCGAACGCUUGCUUUCUCAAAAGCUGGGCUGCUGAGACCAUGAGGGCCGAUCUCAGAAAUCGAAGAGGCACCUGCUUUUUCAGCCUUGUCAGCACCUGUCACAUGCACACUCAACUUUGCGGAAAUUACGGGCAUUCUGUCGAAGAUUUCUAGUGAAGUAGAAAGCACGUGAAUGUUACUGUUCAAUCAUUCACUUUCCACACGCAACAUCAGCUCACGGGUACCACAGAUAACUUUGCCAAAAAUCUCUGACAAAGUUUAGACACGUGAAGCUUGCAGCUCCCAUUACAUCGCUAUGACCAAGAAGGGUAAAAGAAUAGCAAAGAAACAGCACUAACAAAGUUUAGACACAUAAAUUUUGAAGGUCUAGCUACCAUAUUAUUACCCACAAGGGUAAAGGAACAGGACCAUUGCUGGAUAAUUGGAAAGUCCCUGUGGGUCAACCUCUGUACUCCGUGGCAAGGUAGACUAGCAAACAGGCCUAACCUUUACUCACAUUCGAGAAAACACUCCCAACAAGAUUGCUUGCUUCAAGAUCGAAGAGGCACCGUCCUCCGAAUCUCGAGAGCCAGACUCCCAACAUGAUUACUUUCUCAAAAAGCGACGAGACACCGCUCUCCGAAUCUCGAGAGCCAGACUCCUAGCAGGAUUGCUUUCUCAAAAAUCAAAGAGGCACCGUUCUCCGAAUCUCGAGAGACAGAUCCCCGACAGGAUUGCUUGUUCGAAAACCGAAGAGGCACCGCUUUCUCAACUUCGAGAGCCCCUUAGAUAAAGCUUGUCUGUAAUCCUCACACCGCUUUCUCAACUUCGAGAGCCAGAUCUCCUUGGAUAAAGCUUGUCUGUAAUCUUCACACGUAACAUCAGCUUUCCAGAUACCACAGACCACUUUUUCAAAAUGCUCUGACAGAGUUAAAACACGUGAAGCUGGCAGCUCCCACUACCGUGCUAUGACCAAGCAGGGUAAAAGAAUAGUAUUACUCCUUGUUAGGGAGACUCCUAUAUAUGUCGACCUCCAUCCUCAACGGACAGGCAGACCUGCAAAAAUGCUCAACCCUUCCUCAUAUCUGAGAGGGCACUCCCAACGAAGCCUCUCGAAAUACUCAGCUUUCUUUCCCCCCGAGAAUACCUCUGCAAACAAGCUACACUAGAGCAAGAAUAUCUCAUAUCAUUAGGGUUAAAAGCAAGAGUAUCCCAUAUCAUGCUUUUUCCCUGUCUUUUCCUUUGGCCUUGUUCUUACCUGCAAGACAAGGAGAAAGAGAGCAAUCAGUCAACACUUGGAAUCAAGCUUCUAGUCCGGAACUGGCUGCCUGGAACCCCAUUGCUCUCGAGUACUCAUCUUCAACAUCUUAUGCUUCCCGAGAAGAUACCACAUCUGCCUGAGGAACAAAUAGGGCAAGUGAGAAGGAUACAAGGAAGCAUGUGGAGACAAGCGCAACAGAACACGUGCCGAUACAUCCACUACUUUGUCAACAGCAAAAGUAUCUCAUAUCAGCAGGGUCGAACAUACUCUAGAUUUGAUGGACUUGUUUUGACCCUCAAAUUCUUCAGUCGGCCUUAUACUCUGGCGGAAACAAGAAAACCCUCUAGCCCAGUUCAAGAAUAAGCCUGCGGAAAGUUACUUCUUCAAAAGCAAAAGUAUCUCAUAUCACCUUUUCUCCUUUUCUUCUCUUUAUCCUUCAUGCUACCUGCAAUAUAAGGAGAAGGAUAACAAUCAGCCGGAACUUGAAAUCAAACUUCUGAUCUGGGACUGAUUGCUUGGAGCUCUGAUUGCUUACCUUGUCUGUCACCUCUUUCAGCAGAUCCCCUAGCUCGGCGACUUGGGGGACUCCUACUACAUGGUUUGUAUCGCGCUUGACCAAGCCUGAAACUACAAGUAAGCGUCGAGUGAAAUUGAUACAUUACCUUGUGCAUCUCCACCAGUUAAAAGAUACCACCCCUGGAGGGAGGAAGAGUACUUCCAAAGAAGAUGCCACAUCUACCUAUGAGACAGAUAAGGCAAGUGAAGACGAUACCACACUUCGGUACUUAAAAGUUUCGUGAUUACGAGAUCAUUCUUCCACAAUAUUUCCUAAUGUCAUUUGUACUAAAUCAUUCACUUGUACUCACUAAAGGAGAGCUUGAACCUAUAUACUGUGUAAACCCUUCACAAUUAAUGAGAACUCCUUUACUCCGUGGACGUAGCCAAUCUGGGUGAACCACGUACAUCUUGUGUUUGCUUCCUGUCUCUAUCCAUUUACAUACUUAUCCACACUAAUGACCGGAGCAAUCUAGCGAAGAUCACAAACUUAAUAUUUAAGAUGAUAUUCUUUGGGGUAAACGCGAAGCUUAACCUUUGGAGAGAAGUGUUGAAAUCUAAAGGUCCUCGCCUAAGCCGAUCAAAGACAGAAUAUAUGGAGUGCAAGUUCAGUGCAAACGGAGGUCAAAAUGAGUUAGGGGUGAGGAUCGGAGAUCAGGAAAUACCAAAGAGCGACCGUUUUCGCUACCUAGGAUCUAUCUUGCAAAAGAACGGAGAAUUUGAUGGAGAUCUCACCCAUAGAAUACAAGCUGGAUGGAUGAAGUGGAAGAGUGCAUCCGGCGUGUUGUGUGACCGUCGUAGGCCACUGAAGCUCAAGGGAAAAUUUUAUAGGACGGCAAUGCUGUAUGGCAUAGAAUGUUGGGCGGUGAAGCAUCAACACGUAGGUGUAGUGGAGAUGAGGAUGCUUCGUUGGAUGUGUGGGCACACGAGAAAGGAUAAGAUUAGGAAUGAGGAUAUCCGAGGUAAAGUAGGAGUAGCCGAAAUUGAAGGAAAGAGGAGGGAAAAUCGGUUACGGUGGUUUGGACAUGUGCAAAGAAGGCCUACUGACGCUCCGGUUCGAAGAUGUGACCACGGGACAGAGGUUCAGGGCCGAAGGGGUAGAGGAAGACCUAGGAAAACUUUGGAAGAGACCCUAAGAAAAGACUUAGAGUACUUGGAUCUAACGGAGGACAUGACACAAAACCGAGCGCAAUGGCGUUCUAGGAUUCAUAUAGCCGACCCCACUUGGUGGGAAAAGGCUUUGUUGUUGUUGUUGUUAUAGAAUAAAAAACAGCACAAACUGAAGGAAAAAAGGGAGACAUAUUUUCUAAGUUUUUCUUAAGGGAAUGAUGUGCACCCUAUUGCUUGAUGUAAAUUUGUUAAAAACACAAGUGUUUUACCAGUCUCACAGUCUUGUGUUGGACCAAUUUGGCACCUCACUGUCCAUAGUAGCUCGUUUAGUUUUAUAAGUAUCAUACUUAUCCCCUUAUUUGGUUUUUCCUUCCAGAGAUUUCUUCUUUCUAUGAGUACAUUUUUCUUGAAUUACAUAGCUGUUAUGUGGUCAAUCUGAAAUGAAGCAGCAGAACAUUAUUGUGCUGUUACAUUUUGGAUAUUGAUCUUUAAACAUAUACCCUAUAUGCGGUAUUGAAUUGGAAGACCAUAACAAGGUCAGGUUUGCGUUGCAUGCCCCAGACCUAGAGUCCCAUUUGUGUCGUAAAAUGAAGAAUUCUGUGACAUUUUUCUCGUGCCAUCUUUUUUGAUUUGAUGUCUCUUCAUUCAUAUGCUGUGAACUCAAUCUAUUGUCCCUUUUUUUUUUUUUUU
rnacentral:lncRNA from 1 species